AUGGAAUAGUAUUAAAAUGACUCACUUAAAGCAGGUCUCUGUUGGAUUCCGGGGUUUUUGGGGGUUUUUCGUGUCUGGGUCCUUUUUCGGCUAGUCACUAGCCUUCCACCAGAUGGUGCCACAGACUGCUUUUCUUGGCGGGGCGUGCCGACCUCCAACACACCUGUUCGGCAUCUCCUCAUCAUCUCUGGAGCUCAAGAGGAGCUGACUGCCGGUUCUUCGAUGCCUGAGUGUUUGCCAGCAAUGGUGUCCUCCUCGAGACGCUGAGUUCCUUUGUUAAGGGAUUAUUUCCCCCUGGUUUUCCGGAACCCAUUCCCUCGUGACGCCGUGGAGACUACCCACUGGUUGCCCGAGUCCCCGCACCUUCCCUUGGAAACGCCGUUCGUCAGUCGGAACACUCCUCUGUCUCCAGCCCGCCAGAUCCUGCCUGUCCGCCUUCUGCCGCCAGCUCCUGGACCCAGCUGGUUCUCAGACAAGCCCGGAUCCAUUGAGAAGACCCUUUGGACUAAACGACCUCGAUCCAACAGUUAAACCCUCCCGGACUUUCACCAUCUACUCUGCAAGUAAGAUCAGUCCGUUUCUCAUUCCCUCACUCCCUUUUCCGACGCCCUCGAACUCACCUUCUCUCUGUUGCCUCCAUAGUGUGCCGCAUUUCCCGAGAGCCGUAUUUCCUGGAGCAGACACACCUCUGCUGAUUUUCUGAUUAUUCAAUAAACCAUUUUUACUGAU